rnacentral:misc_RNA from 1 species
GGAAUAAAACAAUCCAUUGAUAGGCCUGGGACAUUGAAAGCUGCUUCCUCAAUCGCCCAUGCUUCUUCCAUUCUGGUCCUCGUGUGGCUCAUUGCGGUAUCUCCAAACCGGAAAAGGGUAACUACAGAACGCCCUGAAUGAGCAAUCAUAACACCAUCCACAGGCCUAUAAUCAUCAAGGAAAGAAUUGAUUGUCGUCUCCCAGUACACAGCAUCACCUCCAUUGUUUUGAAUGCGGGUCAAAUGGGAGUCCUCUAUGUGAACAAGGAGCCCAGUUUUCUGAC